GAGUAGAACAUCGGGACGUAUCCUCAAGUGGGGGAUAGCCCGGCGAAAGCCGGAUUAAUACCGCAUGAACUCUGAGGAGCAAAGCGGGGGACUUUCGGGCCUCGCGCUGGAGGAGCGGCCGAUGCCGGAUUAGCUUGUUGGUGGGGUAAGAGCCUACCAAGGCGACGAUCCGUANCUGGUCUGAGAGGAUGAUCAGCCACACUGGAACUGAGACACGGUCCAGACUCCUACGGGAGGCAGCAGUGGGGAAUUUUGGACAAUGGGGGCAACCCUGAUCCAGCCAUGCCGCGUGCGGGAAGAAGGCCUUCGGGUUGUAAACCGCUUUCAUACGGGACGAAAUGGUGCAGGUUAAUACCCUGUAUUGAUGACGGUACCGUAAGAAGAAGCACCGGCUAACUACGUGCC
rnacentral:rRNA from 1 species